rnacentral:tRNA from 1 species
UGGUUGAGCGGUAAAGUGCUUGGCUUCCGAACAAGGGGGUACCAGGUUCGAAUCCUGG